rnacentral:lncRNA from 1 species
CAGGAUCCUAACUCAUUUGGAAUAAGCUUAAGCAAUAGCCACUCCAAUUACUUUUUUUUUGUUUCCCACAUAUAUCCUCGCACUGGAGGCAAUCCUGUCCGAGCCGGGAACAUCCACAUGUAUGUGAGGCUAACUCUCCCAACAUGCAUUUUUUCCAUCCACAAGACUCGAACCCGAGUUCUUACUUAAAGGGAAUCAAGCAUGUACUUGAAGCAACGCCCAAUUGGUACUUGGAUCUCUACAAGAGACAAUUAGUUAGAUAAUUAGGCCUUGCUAUUAAUAUAUUUUUGCUGAUAUAUAUAAUAGUAGAGAAGGCUAAUAAUAUCAAAAGUGAAAUAAUGAAGCAGAGAAAGGAAGAAGGUGAAUCAAAGACAAAGGAGAUAGUGGUUCCAACGCCACCACCACUUCCAAAAUUCAGGGUCUGUUUAAGGCCAAGAGUAGAAGAAAGUGUGACAAAGAGAGAAAUUGCAAAGUUUUGGAAACAGAAAAAGAUUGAAGAGGAGGAUCAUCUUUUUGCUGCUAUCAAAGCUGCAGCAAGAAUCCGUGCACGCAAUCUCUCUGUAUGUUCCAUAUCCAUACUUCAAUCUCUCAAAUUUAGUAUCUUUUUUUAAAUCAUAGCUGAUCCAAAGUAAAAUAAAGUGUCCGAUACUCCUACCUAAUAGGCCCCGAAGAUGACGAUGGUUGUACAACCUUAUCAUCACAAGCAAAUAACUUGCUUACAGAAUUUGAACCUGUGACCUCAGAUCAACCUUGUGUCGAUUUUCACAUCUUAAUUUGCACUAUGAAAAUUGUUUAUUUGACAUGUGAAUCCCAUCACACAGUUAUAUGAUAUAUCUUCAUGAUGUGCUGCAAUUUGUUGAAAAGUUAUAAACAAAAAAACUAAUUUGUUGGAUGUUAUAAGAUGAUUUCUACAAUACUAUGAUUCUAGCUUUGAAAUCCUAUGUGUGUCAUGUUAUAACUUGAAAGGGUAAUACUAAUAAUGAGUACAGGAUCAAGAAUACAUGAGUUUCAUAUUGUCCUUGAACACUUACAAUGAUGAAG